rnacentral:rRNA from 1 species
UACAGAGGUCUCAAGCGUUGUUCGGAUUCAUUGGGCGUAAAGGGUGCGUAGGCGGCGCGGUAAGUCGGGUGUGAAAUCUUGGAGCUUAACUCCGAAACUGCAUUCGAUACUGCCGUGCUUGAGGACUGGAGAGGAGACUGGAAUUUACGGUGUAGCGGUGAAAUGCGUAGAUAUCGUAAGGAAGACCAGUGGCGAAGGCGGGGUCUCUGGACAGUUCCUGACGCUGAGGCACGAAGGUCAGGGGGAGCAAAACGGG